GCAAAAAUGGCGAAGAGGGGUGCCAGAAUGCUGAAACGGAUUCUACCAGCCGGUUGCUUCGACUCGACUAUGCUGCCGCGAUGCGUCCCCAUCCUGAGAAGGCUCAAAGAGGGGGUGAAGAUGCUUU